AUCCCUUUUUGCCCUUUUGGCUAAGAUCAAGUGUA
rnacentral:snRNA from 1 species